UACGUAGGGUGCAAGCGUUGUCCGGAAUUAUUGGGCGUAAAGAGCUCGUAGGCGGUUUGUCGCGUCUGCUGUGAAAACCCGGGGCUCAACCCCGGGCUUGCAGUGGAUACGGGCAGACUAGAGUUCGGUAGGGGAGACUGGAAUUCCUGGUGUAGCGGUGAAAUGCGCAGAUAUCAGGAGGAACACCGGUGGCGAAGGCGGGUCUCUGGGCCGAUACUGACACUGAGGAGCGAAAGCGUGGGGAGCGAACAGG
rnacentral:rRNA from 1 species